CUAGCCGUAAACGGUGUGCAUUAGGUGUAGGCGGAUUCGACCCCGUCUGUGCCGUAGAUAACUCAUUAAAUGCACCGCCUGGGAAGUACGGUCGCAAGAUUAAAACUCAAAGAAAUUGACGGGGGCCCGCACAAGCGGUGGAGUAUGUGGCUUAAUUCGAUGCAACGCGAAGAACCUUACCUGGCCUUGACAUGUACGUAGUAGGAUCAAGAAACUGAAACGAGGUAGCAAUACCAGCGUACACAGGUGC
rnacentral:rRNA from 1 species